rnacentral:rRNA from 1 species
GCAUAUCAAUAAGCGGAGGAAAAGAAACCAACAGGGAUUGCCCCCAGUAACGGCGAGUGAAGCGGCAAUAGCUCAAAUUUGAAAUCUGGCCCCUUUGGGGUCCGAGUUGUAAUUUGCAGAGGGCGCUUUGGAGUUGGCUGCAGCCUAAGUUCCUUGGAACAGGUCAUCAUAGAGGGUGAGAAUCCCGUAUGUGGUUGCAUGCCUUCGCCGUGUAAAGCCCCUUCGAUGAGUCGAGUUGUUUGGGAAUGCAGCUCUAAAUGGGAGGUAAAUUUCUUCUAAAGCUAAAUAUUGGCCAGAGACCGAUAGCGCACAAGUAGAGUGAUCGAAAGAUGAAAAGCACUUUGGAAAGAGAGUCAAAAAGCACGUGAAAUUGUUGAAAGGGAAGCGCUUGCAGCCAGACUUGCCCGCAGUUGCUCAUCCGGGGUUCUCCCCGGUGCACUCUUCUGUGGGCAGGCCAGCAUCAGUUCGGGCGGUUGGAGAAAGACCUGUGUCAUGUAGCUGUUCUCGGGCAGUGUUAUAGGGCAGGUGGAAUGCAACCAGCUCGAACUGAGGUCCGCGCAUCUGCUAGGAUGCUGGCGUAAUGGCUGUAAGCGGCCCGUCUUGAAACACGGACCAAGGAGUCUAACAUCUAUGCGAGUGUUUGGGUGUCAAGCCCGAGCGCGUAAUGAAAGUGAACGGAGGUGGGAACCCCUCGGGGUGCACCAUCGACCGAUCCUGAUGUCUUCGGAUGGAUUUGAGUAAGAGCAUAGCUGUUGGGACCCGAAAGAUGGUGAACUAUGCCUGAAUAGGGUGAAGCCAGAGGAAACUCUGGUGGAGGCUCGCAGCGGUUUCUGACGUGCAAAUCGAUCGUCAAAUUUGGGCAUAGGGGCGAAAGACUAAUCGAACUAUCUAGUAGCUGGUUCCUGC